rnacentral:rRNA from 1 species
AUUGAACGCUGGCGGCAUGCCUUACACGUGCAAGUCGAACGGCAGCACGGGUGCUUGCACCUGGUGGCGAGUGGCGAACGGGUGAGUAAUAUAUCGGAACGUACCUUAUUGUGGGGGAUAACGCAGCGAAAGCUGUGCUAAUACCGCAUAAUCCCUAAGGGGGAAAGCGGGGGACCGUAAGGCCUCGCGCAAUUAGAGCGGCCGAUACCUGAUUAGCUAGUUGGUGAGGUAAAGGCUCACCAAGGCAACGAUCAGUAGCUGGUCUGAGAGGACGACCAGCCACACUGGGACUGAGACACGGCCCAGACUCCUACGGGAGGCAGCAGUGGGGAAUUUUGGACAAUGGGGGCAACCCUGAUCCAGCCAUGCCGCGUGCGGGAAGAAGGCCUUCGGGUUGUAAACCGCUUUUGUCAGGGAAGAAAAGACUCCUACUAAUACUGGGGGUUCAUGACGGUACCUGAAGAAUAAGCACCGGCUAACUACGUGCCAGCCGCCGCGGUAA